CCGCUGAGAGGCGCACGGACACACUGAACUGAAACACGGUCCAGACUCCUACGGGAGGCAGCAGUGGGGAAUUUUGCGCAAUGGGGGAAACCCUGACGCAGCAACGCCGCGUGGAGGAUGAAGUAUCUUGGUACGUAAACUCCUUUCGAUGGGGAAGAUAAUGACGGUACCCAUAGAAGAAGCCCCGGCUAACUUCGUGCCAGCAGCCGCGGUAAUACGAGGGGGGCAAGCGUUGUUCGGAUUUAUUGGGCGUAAAGGGUGCGUAGGCGGUUUGGCAAGUCUUGUGUGAAAUCUUCGGGCUCAACCCGAAGCCUGCACGAGAAACUACCGGGCUUGAGUAUUUGGAGAGGUGAGUGGAAUUUCCGGUGUAGCGGUGAAAUGCGUAGAUAUCGGAAGGAACACCUGUG
rnacentral:rRNA from 1 species